UACGGAGGGUGCAAACGUUGCUCGGAAUCAUUGGGCGUAAAGCGCACGUAGGCGGCCUGAUAAGUCGGGUGUGAAAGCCCUGGGCUCAACCCAGGAAGUGCACUCGAAACUGUCAGGCUUGAAUAUGGAAGAGGGUCGCGGAAUUCCCGGUGUAGAGGUGAAAUUCGUAGAUAUCGGGAGGAACACCAGUGGCGAAGGCGGCGACCUGGACAGAUAUUGACGCUGAGGUGCGAAAGCGUGGGGAGCAAACAGG
rnacentral:rRNA from 1 species